GACGAACGCUGGCGGCGUGCCUAAUACAUGCAAGUAGAACGCUGAAGGAGGAGCUUGCUCUUCUGGAUGAGUUGCGAACGGGUGAGUAACGCGUAGGUAACCUGCCUGGUAGCGGGGGAUAACUAUUGGAAACGAUAGCUAAUACCGCAUAAGAGUAGAUGUUGCAUGACAUUUGCUUAAAAGGUGCAAUUGCAUCACUACCAGAUGGACCUGCGUUGUAUUAGCUAGUUGGUGGGGUAACGGCUCACCAAGGCGACGAUACAUAGCCGACCUGAGAGGGUGAUCGGCCACACUGGGACUGAGACACGGCCCAGACUCCUACGGGAGGCAGCAGUAGGGAAUCUUCGGCAAUGGACGGAAGUCUGACCGAGCAACGCCGCGUGAGUGAAGAAGGUUUUCGGAUCGUAAAGCUCUGUUGUAAGAGAAGAACGAGUGUGAGGGUGGAAAGUUCACACUGUGACGGUAUCUUACCAGAAAGGGACGGCUAACUACGUG
rnacentral:rRNA from 1 species